rnacentral:tRNA from 1 species
UCCCUGGUGGCUCAGAGGUUAAAGUGUCUGCCCGCAAUGCAGGAGACCCGGGUUCGAUCCCUGGAUUGGGAA